rnacentral:rRNA from 1 species
UGAGGAAUAUUGCGCAAUGGGCGAAAGCCUGACGGUGCGACGCCGCGUGGAGGAUGACGGCCCUCGGGUUGUAAACUCCUGUCAUCAGAGAGUAAGACUACAGGUAGUAACUGACUUGUGGGUUGAUAGUAUCUGAAGAGGAAGAGACGGCUAACUCUGUGCCAGCAGCCGCGGUAAUACAGAGGUCUCAAGCGUUGUUCGGAAUUACUGGGCGUAAAGCGUGCGUAGGCGGCGAGGUAAGUCAGAUGUGAAAUCCUGGGGCUCAACCCCAGAACUGCAUCCGAUACUGCCUUGCUCGAGUAGUGGAGGGGAGUCUGGAAUUCACGGUGUAGCAGUGAAAUGCGUAGAUAUCGUGAGGAACACUAGUGGCGAAGGCGAGACUCUGGACACUUACUGACGCUGAGGCACGAAGGCCAGGGUAGCGAAAGGGAUUAGAUACCCCGGUAGUCC